AUAUCAAUAAGCGGAGGAAAAGAAACCAACAGGGAUUGCCUUUAGUAACGGCGAGUGAAGCGGCAACAGCUCAAAUUUGAAAUCUGGCGUCUUUGGCGUCCGAGUUGUAAUUUGCAGAGGAUGCUUCGGCGUUGGCGCCGCCCAAAGUUCCUUGGAACGGGACGUCGCAGAGGGUGAGAGCCCCGUGUUCGGGCGGAUGCCUUCGCCGUGUGAAGCUCCUUCGACGAGUCGAGUUGUUUGGGAAUGCAGCUCAAAACGGGAGGUAAAUUUCUUCCAAAGCUAAAUACCGGCCGGAGACCGAUAGUGCACAAGUAGAGUGAUCGAAAGAUGAAAAGCACUUUGGAAAGAGAGUCAAACAGCGCGUGAAAUUGUUAAAAGGGAAGCGCUUGCGGUCAGAACUUGGCCGCCGUUGCUCGGGGAGGUCUUGCGCCUCCCUCGCUCUUCGGCGGCUGGGCCAGCAUCGGUUCGGGCGGCUCGAGAAAGGUCGCGGGAAUGUAGCUCCCUCCGGGGAGUGUUAUAGCCCGCGGCGCAAUAGGGCCCGCCUGGACCGAGGUCUGCGCAUUUGCUCGGAUGCUGGCGUAAUGGCCCCAAGCGGCCCGUCUUGAAACACGGACCAAGGAGUCUAACAUUCGUGCGAGUGUUCGGGUGUCAAACCCGUGCGCGCAAUGAAAGUGAACGUAGGUGGGAACCCCUCGUGGGCGCACCAUCGACCGAUCCUGAUGUCUUCGGAUGGAUUUGAGUAUGAGCACGUAUGUUGGGACCCGAAAGAUGGUGAACUAUGCCUAAGCAGGGCGAAGCCAGAGGAAACUCUGGUGGAGGCUCGCAGCGGUUCUGACGUGCAAAUCGAUCGUCAAAUUUGGGUAUAGGGGCGAAAGACUAAUCGUA
rnacentral:rRNA from 1 species